rnacentral:piRNA from 1 species
UGGCCAAAUAACUUCUGGAUG